rnacentral:rRNA from 1 species
GCAGGUGGCCGCAGAGAAUAGGCCCAAGCGACUGUUUACCAAAAACAUAGGUUUCUGCUAAGUCGCAAGACGAUGUAUAGGAGCUGACGCCUGCCCGGUGCUGGAAGGUUAAGGGGAUCUGUUAGAGCAAUCGAAGCAGUGAACUUAAGCCCCAGUAAACGGCGGCCGUAACUAUAACGGUCCUAAGGUAGCGAAAUUCCUUGUCGGGUAAGUUCCGACCCGCACGAAAGGCGUAACGAUUUGGGCACUGUCUCAACAACAGACUCGGUGAAAUUGUAAUUCCGGUGAAGAUGCCGGAUACCUGCGACAGGACGGAAAGACCCCAUGGAGCUUUACUGUAGCUUGACAUUGGGUCUUGGUACUACAUGUACAGGAUAGGUGGGAGGCUUUGAAACCAGGACGCCAGUUUUGGCGGAGCCAUCCUUGGGAUACCACCCUUGUAGUACUGGGACUCUAACCAUAGGCCAUGAAUCUGGUCUUGGGACACUGUCAGGUGGGCAGUUUGACUGGGGCGGUCGCCUCCCAAAAGGUAACGGAGGCGCUCAAAGGUUCUCUCAGUACGGUCGGAAAUCGUACGUAGAGUGUAAAGGCAAAAGAGAGCUUGAUUGCAAGACAUACAGGUCGAGCAAGGAUGAAAAUCGGACUUAGUGAUCCGGUGGUUCUGCGUGGAAGGGCCAUCGCUCAACGGAUAAAAG